GAACCAACCCACCACCUCCAGCCACCAAAAUCACGAUCCCUCCAGCAGUGAACUGCUCAAGAUCCGAAGUCGUAAACCAUCCCACCCCGUCGCCGGGCCCGGAUUUUCUUUCAAAGAAAGUUUCCCUAAAUCCAAAGGAGAAAAGAAGAGAUGUCAAUGGGCGAGAAACCCCGAAAAGCCAACUUUGGAGGUAUUGCUGUUUAAUCAAAUACCUGCCGGCCAUCGGAUAUAUAAAUAUGUGAGGUGCAAUUCUCUGUCUUUCCCCUCUCUUUCGCGUUAGAAAUGAAUAAAUGCCUUUUCCGUGGCGCUCCCUCCUGAUUUGGGGGAGGAGAGGUGGCCAACGAGUAAAUCCGGUGCCGGAGCGCCCCCUAGUGUAAGCAACGUGGAAGAGACGCCGUGGAGACACUCCUGAGAUUCAGUGGUCUGAUGCUGUCCCUUAGCGGAUUAGCGUGGGAUAGGGCUGUGGGUUGAGGCCUGGAUACCUGUGCUGCAGCUGAGGCUCAUACUAGAAUACCUGGGGGAAUUUAAUAAUUCUAACCUAAACCCUAUACACACACACGUCCCCUAUCAGGGAUUCUGAUACUCUGAUUCAUUGGUUUUAGGUGGGACUCAGGUAUCUUUCUUCCCCCAGAUAAUGUGCCAUCAGGGAAGACAACCGAUAUUUGAGAAUUUCCAGGACUUUACAAAAUAAUUACUGGUUACAGUGCAAGUGAGAAAGGUAAUUGGCUUAACACUGACCUUAUAUAUACACAUAUGCUUCAAUAUUUACUAGUUGUAUUUAGAAAACCAUAUGUGCUCAUCAUUAUCCCUAGGCUACUUGGAAGAUUUUAUUUCAAAGAUUUUUUUUUUUUAAUCCAGAUUGUUGGGAAUCUUUGUUCUGAAUGUUAAUGUCAGAUUGUAUCUUGAAAUAAUUUAAGAUGUUUGAAACUCAGUUUUUGUUUUCUGCUUUCUUGGGAUAAACAUAUGAAGUGAGAACUUCAAUAAUGGUGAAAAUCAUAUUAAUAGGAGAAGAAUAAAUGAAACAAGAUGGGAUUGGGAGGGAGACAAACCAUAAGUGACUCUUAAUCUCACAAAACAAACUGAG
rnacentral:lncRNA from 1 species